UACCAGCAGCUCGAGUGGUGAUCCUUAUUAUUGGGCCUAAAGCGUCCGUAGCCGGUCUGGUAAAUCCUUGGGUAAAUCGUACCGCUUAACGGUACGACCUCUGGGGAGACUACCAGACUUGGGACUGGGAGAGGUCGGAGGUACUCCUGGGGUAGGGGUGAAAUCCUGUAAUCCUAGGGGGACCACCAGUGGCGAAGGCGUCCGACUAGAACGGAUCCGACGGUGAGGGACGAAGCCGUGGGGCACAAACCGCAUUAGAUACCCGGGUAGUCCACGGUGUAAACGCUGCGAGCUUGGUGUUGGGGGUCCUACGAGGGCGCCCAGUGCCGGAGAGAAGUUGUUAAGCUCGCCGCCUGGGGAGUACGAUCGCAAGAUUGAAACUUAAAGGAAUUGGCGGGGAGCACCGCAACGGGUGGAGCGUGCGGUUC
rnacentral:rRNA from 1 species